GAUUGAACGCUGGCGGCAUGCCUUACACAUGCAAGUCGAACGGCAGCACGGGUGCUUGCACCUGGUGGCGAGUGGCGAACGGGUGAGUAAUACAUCGGAACAUGUCCUGUAGUGGGGGAUAGCCCGGCGAAAGCCGGAUUAAUACCGCAUACGAUCUACGGAUGAAAGCGGGGGACCUUCGGGCCUCGCGCUAUAGGGUUGGCCGAUGGCUGAUUAGCUAGUUGGUGGGGUAAAGGCCUACCAAGGCGACGAUCAGUAGCUGGUCUGAGAGGACGACCAGCCACACUGGGACUGAGACACGGCCCAGACUCCUACGGGAGGCAGCAGUGGGGAAUUUUGGACAAUGGGCGAAAGCCUGAUCCAGCAAUGCCGCGUGUGUGAAGAAGGCCUUCGGGUUGUAAAGCACUUUUGUCCGGAAAGAAAUCCUUGGCUCUAAUACAGUCGGGGGAUGACGGUACCGGAAGAAUAAGCACCGGCUAACUACGUGCCAGCAGCCGCGGUAAUACGUAGGGUGCGAGCGUUAAUCGGAAUUACUGGGCGUAAAGCGUGCGCAGGCGGUUUGCUAAGACCGAUGUGAAAUCCCCGGGCUCAACCUGGGAACUGCAUUGGUGACUGGCAGGCUAGAGUAUGGCAGAGGGGGGUAGAAUUCCACGUGUAGCAGUGAAAUGCGUAGAGAUGUGGAGGAAUACCGAUGGCGAAGGCAGCCCCCUGGGCCAAUACUGACGCUCAUGCACGAAAGCGUGGGGAGCAAACAGGAUUAGAUACCCUGGUAGUCCACGCCCUAAACGAUGUCAACUAGUUGUUGGGGAUUCAUUUCCUUAGUAACGUAGCUAACGCGUGAAGUUGACCGCCUGGGGAGUACGGUCGCAAGAUUAAAACUCAAAGGAAUUGACGGGGACCCGCACAAGCGGUGGAUGAUGUGGAUUAAUUCGAUGCAACGCGAAAAACCUUACCUACCCUUGACAUGGUCGGAAUCCCGCUGAGAGGUGGGAGUGCUCGAAAGAGAACCGGCGCACAGGUGCUGCAUGGCUGUCGUCAGCCCGUGUCGUGAGAUGUUGGGUUAAGUCCCGCAACGAGCGCAACCCUUGUCCUUAGUUGCUACGCAAGAGCACUCUAAGGAGACUGCCGGUGACAAACCGGAGGAAGGUGGGGAUGACGUCAAGUCCUCAUGGCCCUUAUGGGUAGGGCUUCACACGUCAUACAAUGGUCGGAACAGAGGGUUGCCAACCCGCGAGGGGGAGCUAAUCCCAGAAAACCGAUCGUAGUCCGGAUUGCACUCUGCAACUCGAGUGCAUGAAGCUGGAAUCGCUAGUAAUCGCGGAUCAGCAUGCCGCGGUGAAUACGUUCCCGGGUCUUGUACACACCGC
rnacentral:rRNA from 1 species